CCGCCGCCAUCGCGGUGCGCGGAACCGGAUGUUUCCUCCGCGCGUGCGCACCGGCUGGGCGGGCCAGGACUCACCCGCUUCCGGUCCGCGCUGCUCGGUUCUGCCCCGGGACCGGCCGCCGGAAGCCCCGCCCGGGCUCCCUUGAAUAGUUUCUAAUGAGAUGAGUUUAGUCAUUCGAAAUCUGCAGAAAGUCAUCCCCCUCAGGCGAAUCCCACUUCGCAGAAGAAUAGAAAUCCUUCAGAAGAUUUUGGACGUGCAGCAGUUCGACCUGGGCAUUAUCUGUGUUAAUAACAGAAACAUUCAACUUCUCAAUAACACCUACAGGCAAAAAAAUGUCCCCACUGAUGUGCUUUCCUUCCCUUUUCAUGAGAAUCUGAAAGCAGGUGAGCUGCCUCAGCCUAAUUUUCGGGACGAAUACAAUCUCGGUGAUGUUUUCCUAGGAGUAGAGUAUAUCUAUCAGCAGUGCCAAGAAAAUGGGGAGGAUUACUACAGCAUUCUUACAGUGACUGCAGCUCAUGGACUGUGCCAUUUGCUGGGAUACCAGCACAACACAGAAGCGGAGUGGGAGCAGGAGCACCUCUUAGACCUACCCUGAGGCCUACCCAGAAAACACGGCCGGAGGAACACAGAAGGGGGAAGACAAAGAUGGCCCCAGUGCAGCAGACAGGAGUUGAUUUAAUCCAGGCCCAUCUCACCAAAGGAAGAAGUGCUGAGGCUGGGGAGACAAAGAAGGUGCCUUGCAACCCGCGGUCUGGCCGUUCCUUGUUCUGACAACCAGAAUAUGUGUAUUACCUCCCAUAAGCAGAUGUAUCAGAAGGAAAAACAAAUUCUUGAGGAGCUAAAUGGAAUCACUGGUGCAAACCUCCAGCCACUGACUAAAAACCAUUUCUGAUCCCAUCACAAGAAAAAGAGAGAAGACCCAGAAAAAAAAAAUCCUUACCCUACUAAGAAACCAAGUAGCAUAGAUACAACUAACUUGUGUAUUAAGUGAUUUAUUUAACAGAUAUCUAUGUUAACUUCAUAUAGUGUCAACAGAAUGCUCUACAUUGUAGUGUGUAAUAAAAUUCAGCCAAACAGUUUCUCUCUCAAGCAGA